GAUGAAGAACGUAGCGAAAUGCGAUAAGUAAUGUGAAUUGCAGAAUUCAGUGAAUCAUCGAAUCUUUGAACGCACAUUGCGCCCGCCAGUAUUCUGGCGGGCAUGCCUGUUCGAGCGUCAUUACAACCCUCAGGCCCCCGGGCCUGGCGUUGGGGAUCGGCGGAGCCCCCCGUGGGCACACGCCGUCCCCCAAAUGCAGUGGCGGUCCCGCCGCAGCUUCCAUCGCGUAGUAGCUAACACCUCGCGACUGGAGAGCGGCGCGGCCACGCCGUAAAACACCCAACUCUUCUGAAGUUGACCUCGAAUCAGGUAGGAAUACCCGCUGAACUUAAGCAUAUCAAUAAGCGGACGA
rnacentral:misc_RNA from 1 species